GACGGAGGGUGCAAACGUUGUUCGGAAUCACUGGGCGUAAAGGGCGCGUAGGCGGACUUGUAAGUCGGGAGUGAAAACUCGGGGCUCAACCCCGAGCCUGCUUCCGAAACUGCGAGUCUUGGGGACCGGAGAGGAAAGUGGAAUUCCUAGUGUAGCGGUGGAAUGCGUAGAUAUUAGGAAGAACGCCAGUGGCGAAGGCGACUUUCUGGACGGUUCCUGACGCUGAGGCGCGAAAGCGUGGGGAGCAAACAGG
rnacentral:rRNA from 1 species